GGCUUAAUGAUAAUAAUUUUAGGUCGAUCUGCCCAAUGAUUAAUAAUUAAAUGGCUGCAGUAUAUUUGACUGUACAAAGGUAGCAUAAUCAAUUGUUCUUUAAUUGAGAACUGGAAUGAAAGAAUUAAUGAGAUAUAUACUGUCUCAUAUAUAUAUAAUGAAUUUAAAUUUUUGGUUAAAAUGCUUAAAUAAUUUUAUGGGACGAUAAGACCCUAUAGAAUUUUAUAUUAAUUAUAAUUAUUAAAUUAUUUAUUUAAUUUUUAAAUUAAUAUUUGGUUGGGAGGAUUAGUAAAUUUAAUAAACUUUAUUUUAAAUUUAAACUUAGAUUAAAGAAUUUUUUAGAUCUUGUAUUAUAAAUAAAAAGAAUAAAUUACCUUAGGGAUAACAGCGUAAUAUCUUUUUAAAGAUCAUAUUAGUAAAGAUGAUUGCGACCUCGAUGUUGAAUUAAGAUAAAUUUUAAAUGGAGAAGUUUAAAAAUUAAGUCUGUUCGACUUUUAAAAUCUUACAUGAUUUGAGUUCAAAUCGACGUGAGU
rnacentral:rRNA from 1 species